rnacentral:rRNA from 1 species
UACAGAGGUCCCAAGCGUUGUUCGGAUUCACUGGGCGUAAAGGGUGCGUAGGUGGCUAUCUUAAGUUUGAUGUGAAAGCUCCGGGCUCAACCCGGAAAUGGCAUUGAAUACUAAGGAGCUGGAGGGUUGGAGGGGGGACUGGAAUACUUGGUGUAGCAGUGAAAUGCGUAGAUAUCAAGUGGAACACCAGUGGCGAAGGCGAGUCCCUGGACAACACCUGACACUGAGGCACGAAAGCUAGGGGAGCAAACAGGAUUAGAAACCCCGGUAGUCC